rnacentral:sRNA from 1 species
AUGGCUGUCGUCAGCUCGUGUCGUGAGAUGUUGGGUUAAGUCCCGCAACGAGCGCAACCCUCACUUUUAGUUGCCAUCAUUAAGUUGGGCACUCUGAAAGAACUGCCAGUGAUAAGCUGGAGGAAGGUGGGGAUGACGUCAAGUCCUCAUGGCCCUUACGUGUUGGGCUACACACGUGCUACAAUGGUAUCUACAACAGGAAGCAAAACGGCAACGUUAAGCAAAUCCCGAAAAGAUACCUCAGUUCGGAUUGCACUCUGCAACUCGAGUGCAUGAAGCUGGAAUUACUAGUAAUCGUGGAUCAGCGUGCCACGGUGAAUGCGUUCUCGGGUCUUGUACACACCGCCCGUCAUACCAUGGAAGUGGAUUGCACCAGAAGUAGAUAGUCUAACCUUAGGGAGGGCGUUUACCACGGUGUGCUUCAUGACUGGGGUAAAGUCGUAACAAGGUAGCCGUAGGGGAACCUGUGGCUGGAUCACCUCCUUAACGAUAUUUUCGUACUAGAGUACCCACACGAGUAAUCAAAUAUAUUAAAAGAAGUUAUUUAUAAGUUUUGGUAUGUAAUUUUCUAGUGUAUAAAUCUUUUUAAGAUAUAUACACCAGUGUCAUAUCUAUAAUUAGAUAUGUACACGAUAGAUCACUGCAUUUAAUAGAAGAAAAUUUUAUUAAGUUAUUCUCAAACAAUAACGAAAAAAACUUAGUCUGCAAUAAAAAGGUCGACUAAGUAUAUAGCCCUUUUUUAGGGUUAUAUGAUCAAGUAAUUAAGAGCACAAGGCGGAUGCCUUGGCAGCUGAAGGCGAUGAAGGACGUAGUAACUUGCGAUAAGCUUCGGGGAGGUGGUAAACAACCUUUGAUCCGGAGAUUUCCGAAUGGGGAAACCCGG